CCUACGGGAGGCAGCAGUGAGGAAUAUUGGUCAAUGGACGGAAGCCUGAACCAGCCAUGCCGCGUGCAGGAAGACGGCUUUCUGAGUUGUAAACUGCUUUUGUACAAGGGUAAACCUGAAUACGUGUAUUCAGCUGAACGUACUGUACGAAUAAGGAUCGGCUAACUCCGUGCCAGCAGCCGAGGUAAUACGGAGGAUCCAAGCGUUAUCCGGAUUUAUUGGGUUUAAAGGGUGCGUAGGCGGAUUGAUAAGUUAGAGGUGAAAUGUCCGGGCUUAACUCGGGAACUACCUCUAAUACUGUUGAUCUAGAGAGUAGAUGCGGUAGGCGGAAUGUAUGGUGUAGCGGUGAAAUGCUUAGAGAUCAGACAGAACACCGAUUGCGAAGGCAGCUUACCAAUCUAUAUCUGACGUUGAGGCACGAAAGCGUGGGGAGCAAACAGGAUUAGAUACCCCUGUAGUC
rnacentral:rRNA from 1 species